UAGUCCACGCCGUAAACGAUGGUCACUAGCUGUUCGGACUUCGGUCCGAGUGGCUAAGCGAAAGUGGUAAGUGACCCACCUGGGGAGUACGUUCGCAAGAAUGAAACUCAAAGGAAUUGACGGGGGCCCGCACAAGCGGUGGAGCAUGUGGUUUAAUUCGAUGAUACGCGAGGAACCUUACCAGGGCUUAAAUGUAAGUUGCAUAGUUUAGAGAUAGACUUUUCUUCGGACUACUUACAAGGUGCUGCAUGGUUGUCGUCAGCUCGUGCCGUGAGGUGUCAGGUUAAGUCCUAUAACGAGCGCAACCCCUGUUGUUAGUUGCCAGCAUGUAAGAUGGGAACUCUAACAAGACUGCCGGUGCAAACCGUGAGGAAGGUGGGGAUGACGUCAAAUCAUCACGGCCCUUACGUCCUGGGGCUACACACGUGCUACAAUGGGUAGGGUACAGAGAGCAGCCACUACGCGAGUAGGGAGC
rnacentral:rRNA from 1 species